rnacentral:tRNA from 2 species
GCGCUUGUAGCUCAGCUGGAUAGAGCGUUCCCCUCCUAAGGGAAAGGUCGCCCGUUCAAAUCGGGCCAGGCGCGCCA